GGACGAACGGCUGGCGGCGUGCCUAAUACAUGCAAGUCGAACGGUCUUUUCUAUGGAAGCUUGCUUCCACUGAGAAGAUAGUGGCGAACGGGUGAGUAACACGUGGGUAACCUGCCCAUAAGAGGGGGGAUAACAUCCGGAAACGGGUGCUAAUACCGCAUAGUUUUCUUGAUCGCAUGAUUGAGAAAGGAAAGACGGCCUUUGUGCUGUCGCUUAUGGAUGGACCCGCGGCGUAUUAGUUAGUUGGUGAGGUAACGGCUCACCAAGACGAUGAUACGUAGCCGACCUGAGAGGGUGAUCGGCCACAUUGGGACUGAGACACGGCCCAAACUCCUACGGGAGGCAGCAGUAGGGAAUCUUCCGCAAUGGACGAAAGUCUGACGGAGCAACGCCGCGUGAGUGAAGAAAGGUUUUCGGAUCGUAAAACUCUGUUGUCAGAGAAGAACAAGUUGGAGAGUAACUGCUCCAGCCUUGACGGUAUCUGACCAGAAAGCCACGGCUAACUACGUGCCAGCCGCUGC
rnacentral:rRNA from 1 species